UUCUGUAGCUUAGUUGGUUAAAGCGCUGGUCAAGCGAAUACGGAGUCGCGGGUUCGAAUCCCACCAGAA
rnacentral:tRNA from 1 species